CCUACGGGAGGCAGCAGUGGGGAAUCUUGCGCAAUGGGCGAAAGCCUGACGCAGCAACGCCGCGUGCGGGAUGAAGGCCUUCGGGUUGUAAACCGCUUUCAGCAGGGAAGAAAUUGACGGUACCUGCAGAAGAAGCCCCGGCCAACUACGUGCCAGCAGCCGCGGUAACACGUAGGGGGCGAGCGUUGUCCGGAUUUAUUGGGCGUAAAGAGCUCGUAGGCGGUUCACUAAGUCGGGUGUGAAACCUCCAGGCUCAACCUGGAGACGCCACCUGAUACUGGUGUGACUAGAGUCCGGUAGGGGAGUGUGGAACUCCUGGUGUAGCGGUGAAAUGCGCAGAUAUCAGGAAGAACACCAGCGGCGAAGGCGGCACUCUGGGCCGGUACUGACGCUGAGGAGCGAAAGCGUGGGUAGCAAACAGGAUUAGAUACCCUGGUAGUCCACGCCGUAAACGUUGGGCACUAGGUGUGGGUCUCAACCAACGAGAUCCGUGCCGCAGCUACGACAUAAGUACGCCCGCCGUCGGGAGGUACGGCCGCGAACGACGUAAACUACAAAGGAAAGUUAGACGGCGUGAGACGUGCCGAACGGACGACGACGAGGGGAGGUAGG
rnacentral:rRNA from 1 species